rnacentral:rRNA from 1 species
CCUACGGGAGGCAGCAGUGGGGAAUAUUGGGCAAUGGGCGCAAGCCUGACCCAGCGACGCCGCGUGAGGGAUGAAGGCCUUCGGGUUGUAAACCUCUUUCAGUAGGGAAGAAGCGAAAGUGACGGUACCUAAAGAAGAAGCACCGGCUAACUAUGUGCCAGCAGCCGCGGUAAUACAUAGGGUGCAAGCGUUGUCCGGAAUUAUUGGGCGUAAAGAGCUCGUAGGUCGUUUGCCGCGUCGAUUGUGAAAAUCUGAGGCUCAACCUCAGACCUGCAGUCGAUACGGGCAAACUAGAGUGUGGUAGGGGAGACUGGAAUUCCUGGUGUAGCGGUGGAAUGCGCAGAUAUCAGGAGGAACACCAAUGGCGAAGGCAGGUCUCUGGGCCAUAACUGACUCUGAGGAGCGAAAGCGCGGGGAGCGAACAGGAUUAGAUACCCUGGUAGUCCGCGCCGUAAACGGUGGGCACUAGCUGUGAGGACCUUCCACGGUCUUCGCGACGCAGCAAACGCAUUAAGUGCCCCGCCUGGGGAGUACGAUCGCAAGAUUAAAACUCAAAGGAAUUGACGG